ACUACUGUCUAAAAAACCGUGUCCUUUUAGGACUCUCUCUCCCAAUAGAGAUUGCAGACAAAACCAAUUUUUGGUCAUCUAUCUAUCUAUAUACAACACAUAUGCACAAGUCGAGCUUGCCGCUUGAAGUGAGUUGAUCAAAAUCUGAAAAUGGCGAGCGGCGGCGUAGCUAGAGAACUCACUUCCAAAGAGGCCGACAUUCAGAAGAUGUUGGCGGCUGAGGUGCAUCUCGGUACCAAAAAUUGUGACUUUCAAAUGGAACAUUAUGUCUUCAAGCGCCGCAACGAUGGUAUUUAUAUUAUCAAUUUGGGCAAGACAUGGGAGAAGCUUCAGAUGGCAUCCAGAGUCAUUGUUGCCAUGGAGAACCCCCAGGACAUUAUUGUCCAGUCUGCCAGGCCCUAUGGUUAGAGAGCGGUGUUGAAGUUUGCUUAGUACACGGGUGACAAUGCUAUUGUUGGCCGUCACACUCCCGGUACUUUUACUAAUCAGUUGCAGACGUCGUUUAGUGACCCCGUCUCCUCAUUUUGACCGAUUCAAGAACUGAUCACCAGUGCCAUCCGCCGAUGGAUGGGAUGUUGCACCUGAGCCUACAUUGGCUGCCGCACCUGGACUGGAUAUCACUCAACCAGCUGUUGUUGCUCCAACUUGGGAAUAAGCAUAGUUUUUUUUUUUUGGUCAGGUGGGAAUAAGCAUAGUUGAAAGUGUGGAUUUUUGUUGUUUUUACUUUAAAAGUUUUCCUGCCAAUCAGUGUUGAUGGUGAAUGUUGUUUCUGAACAACUUCAAAGAUAUUGUAGCUUAAUAGAGAAAUUUUGACAGCAAUGACCAUAGCCCGAUGUCUCUCUCUUCAUCUCAGCGAGCUCCUAUGCUACUUUUCGAACAUCUGCGAGUGAAUGAUUUGUUCAGCAUUUAUAAACUGUGUUGUUAGUAUUCCAGCUGCUGGAAAUUGAUUGUGUGAUCGGAGAGAGUCACAAAGAGUUGUUGCCUAAUUCUUCUGGUCCUGCUGCUAUUAUUCGAAUCUUUGGCGUCACAAGAGAAGAUUCCUUAUGUUGGUGUAAAGAUGAAAGAGGUAUAAAGGACUUGAUUAUAACAUCUAUGGUUUCUUCAUUCUUGUUCUUACUGGUGCCUAAACCUUAGUUUCAAACAUCUGAGCAAUAGGUUAUA